rnacentral:rRNA from 1 species
GCGUGAAUGAUGAAGGCCUUAGGGUUGUAAAAUUCUUUCGCCAGGGAAGAUAAUGACGGUACCUGGAGAAGAAGCCCCGGCUAACUCCGUGCCAGCAGCCGCGGUAAUACGGAGGGGGCUAGCGUUGUUCGGAAUUACUGGGCGUAAAGCGGGUGUAGGCGGAUCUUUAAGUCGGGGGUGAAAGCCCAGGGCUCAACCCUGGAAUUGCCUUCGAUACUGGAGAUCUCGAGUCUAGGAGAGGUGAGCGGAAUUCCGAGUGUAGAGGUGAAAUUCGU